AUUGAACGCUGGCGGCGUGCUUAACACAUGCAAGUCGAUCGGUAACGCGGGGGCAACCCUGGCGACGAGAGGCGGACGGGUGAGGAACGCUUGGGAAUCUGCCUAUCAGCGGGGGACAACACGGGGAAACUCGUGCUAAUACCGCAUACGCUCUACGGAGGAAAGCCGGGGACCGCAAGGCCUGGCACUGAUAGAUGAGCCCAAGUCGGAUUAGCUAGUUGGCGGGGUAACAGCCCACCUAGGCGACGAUCCAUAGCUGGUCUGAGAGGACGAUCAGCCACACUGGGACUGAGACACGGCCCAGACUCCUACGGGAGGCAGCAGUGGGGAAUAUUGGACAAUGGGGGAAACCCUGAUCCAGCGACGCCGCGUGGGUGAAGAAGGCCUGCGGGUUGUAAAGCCCUUUCGGUAGGGACGAAAGCUCUCGACCUAACACGUCGGGAGGUUGACUUAACCUACAAAAGAAGCACCGGCUAACUCUGUGCCAGCCGCCGCGGUAACAC
rnacentral:rRNA from 1 species